rnacentral:rRNA from 1 species
CCCUUUGUACACACCGCCCGUCGCUACUACCGAUUGAAUGGUUUAGUGAGAUCUUGGGAUCGGGCGCUAAGGGGCUUCCCUAAGCGACUGAGAAGAUGAUCGAACUUGAUCAUUUAGAGGAAGUAAAAGUCGUAACAAGGUUUCUGUAGGUGAACCUGCAGAAGGAUCAUUA